AAUGACCGCUGGUUCAUUUGCCUCCUCCCCCUCCUCAUCAAACCGUUCUACAUCGAAGGGGGAAAAAGCGAGAGGAUGCUGGUGGCCACGGUUCGUUGUAAGAGGAACGUUUGUCCAAAGAA
ensembl:ncRNA C25F6.15 ncRNA